AUGAACGCUGGCGGCGUGCCUAAUACAUGCAAGUCGAGCGAACGGACGAGAAGCUUGCUUCUCUGAUGUUAGCGGCGGACGGGUGAGUAACACGGGGAUAACCUACCUAUAAGACUGGGAUAACUUCGGGAAACCGGAGCUAAUACCGGAUAAUAUUUUGAACCGCAUGGUUCAAAAGUGAAAGACGGUCUUGCCGUCACUUAUAGAUGGAUCCGCGCUGCAUUAGCUAGUUGGUAAGGUAACGGCUUACCAAGGCAACGAUGCAUAGCCGACCUGAGAGGGUGAUCGGCCACACUGGAACUGAGACACGGUCCAGACUCCUACGGGAGGCAGCAGUAGGGAAUCUUCCGCAAUGGGCGAAAGCCUGACGGAGCAACGCCGCGUGAGUGAUGAAGGUCUUCGGAUCGUAAAACUCUGUUAUUAGGGAAGAACAUAUGUGUAAGUAACUGUGCACAUCUUGACGGUACCUAAUCAGAAAGCCACGGCUAACUACGUG
rnacentral:rRNA from 1 species